CCUGAUUUGGACCAACUUGAAAACUGGGCCCAUAAUAAAAAAUCUAAGUACAUGUUUGGAUUCAGCAUAUCAAAGAACCCCAAGAUUUCAAUUUUUGUUGAAAAUCAGACUAAGUUUAAUUUUGGACCCUUUGGACUUUAGUGUAGACCAAUUUGAAAACAGGACCAAAAAUGAAGAAUCUACAUACACAGUUAGAUUUUGGUUAUCAAAGAACCCC
rnacentral:lncRNA from 1 species